CCUACGGGUGGCAGCAGUGAGGAAUAUUGGUCAAUGGACGAGAGCCUGAACCAGCCAAGUCGCGUGAAGGAUGACUGCCCUAUGGGUUGUAAACUUCUUUUAUAUGGGAAUAAAAUGUUCCACGUGUGGGAUUUUGUAUGUACCCUAUGAAUAAGGCACGGCUAACUCCGUGCCAGCAGCCGCGGUAAUACGGAGGAUCCGAGCGUUAUCCGGAUUUAUUGGGUUUAAAGGGAGCGUAGGUGGAUUGUUAAGUCAGUUGUGAAAGUUUGAGGCUCAAACGUAAUAUUGCAGUUGAAACUGGCAGUCUUGAGUACAGUAGAGGUGGGCGGAAUGCGUGGUGUAGCGGUGAAAUGCUUAGAUAUCACGAAGAACUCCGAUUGCGAAGGCAGCUCACUGGACUGCAACUGACACUGAGGCUCGAAAGUGUGGGUAUCAAACAGGAUUAGAUACCCGUGUAGUC
rnacentral:rRNA from 1 species